GACGAACGCUGGCGGCGUGCUUAACACAUGCAAGUCGAACGGAAAGGCCCUGCUUGCAGGGUACUCGAGUUGCGAACGGGUGAGUAACACGUGGGUGAUCUGCCCUGCACUUCGGGAUAAGCCUGGGAAACUGGGUCUAAUACCGGAUAGGAGCCAUUUUUAGUGUGAUGGUUGGAAAGUUUUUUUCGGUGUAGGAUGAGCUCGCGGCGUAUCGGCUUGUUGGUGGGGUAAUGGCCUACCAAGGCGGCGACGGGUAGCCCGCCUGAGAGGGUGGACGGCCACAUUGGGUCUGAGGUACGGCCCAGACUCGUAAGGGAGGGAGAAGUGGGGAAUAUUGCCGAAUGGGCGCCAGCCUGAUGCAGAGGCGCCGCGUGGGGGAUGACGGCCUUCGGGUUGUAAACUACUUUCGCUAGGGACGAAGCUUUUUGUGACGGUACCUAGAUAAGAAGCACCGGCUAACUACGUG
rnacentral:rRNA from 1 species